GCAGCCACCUUUUAAAACGCGUCAAAGCGUAACCUAAACCCCCCCCAAAAUACCAUUAAUUUUCAUGAACCCCUAAUUUAUAAUGAAUGACUCCAUAUUUAUAUGGAAGACACCAUGCUAGGAUUAGUAACAAGAAUUUAUAAUUCUCCAAAAUGCAAAUAUAAACCAACAUGGAUAGACCAUUGGUAGUUACCGAACCUAAAUUUACUGCAAUAACACCCACAAGAAAACUCUGCAGUACUUACUCGUUAACCUAACACCAGCGCAUUACAGGAAAGAUUAAAAAAAAGAGAAGGAAUUCGGCAAAUGACGGCCCCGCCUGUUUACCAAAAACAUCGCCUCUUGACUUAUAAUAAGAGGUCCAGCCUGCCCAGUGAAUUUUAAACGGCCGCGGUAUCCUAACCGCGCGAAGGUAGCAUAAUCACUUGUUCUUUAAAUGGGGACUCGUAUCAACGGCAUCACGAGGGUUUUACUGUCUCCUCUUUUUGAUCAGUGAAAUUGAUCUUCCCGUGAAGAAGCGGGGAUAUUUUUAUAAGACGAGAAGACCCCAUGGAGCUUUAAACCAAAUAACAACUUAACUACUUAUCCCACAAUAAAUUUAAGCCCUGUUAUAAGGUUUUUGGUUGGGGUGACCGCGGAGUAAAGCACAUCCUCCACGACGGAAAGAACAUAAUCUUUAUUUAAGAACCACACUUCUAGAAAUUAGUAUACUAACGUUUACUGACCCGACAAUCGAUCAACGGACCAAGUUACCCUGGGGAUAACAGCGCAAUCUACUUCAAGAGCUCAUAUCGACAAGUAGGCUUACGACCUCGAUGUUGGAUCAGGGUAUCCCGGUGGUGCAGCCGCUACCGAAGGUUCGUUUGUUCAACGAUUAAAACCCUACGUGAUCUG
rnacentral:rRNA from 1 species